rnacentral:rRNA from 1 species
GACGAACGCUGGCGGCGUGCUUAACACAUGCAAGUCGAACGGAUAUGCCCUGCUUUUUGGGUACUCGAGUGGCGAACGGGUGAGUAACACGAGGGUGGUCUGCUCUGCACUUCGGGUUAAGCCUGGGUAACUGGGUCUAAUACCGGAGAGUAGCCUUUCUUUGUCUGAUGGUUGGAAAGGUUUGUCGGUGUAGGAUGAGCUCUCGGCCUAUCAGCUUGUUGGUGGGGUAAUGGCCUACCAAGGCGGCGAUGGGUAGCCGGCCUGAGAGGGUGGACGGCCACAGUGGGACUGAGGGACGGCCCAGACUCCUACGGGGGGCAGCAGUGGGGAAGAUUGCUCAAGGGGCGCAGGCCUGAUGCAGAGACGCCGCGUGGGGGAGGACGGCCUUCGGGUUGUAAACGCCGUUCGCGAGGGACGAAGCUUUUUGUGACGGUACCUAGAGAAGAAGCACCGGCUAACUACGUG